CCUACGGGAGGCAGCAGUGGGGAAUAUUGCGCAAUGGACGAAAGUCUGACGCAGCGACGCCUCGUGAGGGACGAAGGUCUUCGGAUUGUAAACCUCUUUCAGCAGGGACGAAGCGAAAGUGACGGUACCUGCAGAAGAAGCACCGGCUAACUAUGUGCCAGCAGCCGCGGUAAUACAUAGGGUGCAAGCGUUGUCCGGAUUUAUUGGGCGUAAAGAGUUCGUAGGCGGUUUUUCGCGUCGGAUGUGAAAACUCAGGGCUCAACCCUGAGCCUGCAUUCGAUACGGGAAGACUCGAGGACGGCAGGGGAGACUGGAACUUCUGGUGUAGCGGUGGAAUGCGCAGAUAUCAGAAAGAACACCAAUGGCGAAGGCAGGUCUCUGGGCCGAUCCUGACGCUGAGGAACGAAAGCGUGGGGAGCAAACAGGAUUAGAUACCCUGGUAGUCCACGCCGUAAACGAUGAUAACUAGCUGUCCGGGCACUUGGUGCUUGGGUGGCGCAGCUAACGCAUUAAGUUAUCCGCCUGGGGAGUACGGUCGCAAGAUUAAAACUCAAAGGAAUUGACGG
rnacentral:rRNA from 1 species